rnacentral:lncRNA from 1 species
GUUGGGAUUGCUGCAGAACUUUGAGAAGGACCACCAACUCCGAAAGGAGUUGGUGAAUGUUGUGGGAGGGUCUUCUUCUAGUCGUCGAUCCUUUAAGAAAGGGAAGAAGAAUAAGAAGAAGAAGAACAAGAAGGUGCAGCCGCAUGUUGGGACAUUUGCACAGGGUCAGACCAAGAAGCACAAGCCCGACCAGAGGUAG